rnacentral:rRNA from 1 species
UACAGAGGUCCCAAGCGUUGUUCGGAUUCAUUGGGCGUAAAGGGUGCGUAGGCGGCGCGGUAAGUCGGGUGUGAAAUCUCGGAGCUUAACUCCGAAACUGCAUUCGAUACUGCCGUGCUUGAGGACUGGAGAGGAGACUGGAAUUUACGGUGUAGCGGUGAAAUGCGUAGAUAUCAGGAGGAACACCGGUGGCGAAGGCGGCCCUCUGGACGGUGACUGACGCUGAGACGCGAAAGCGUGGGGAGCAAACAGG